UGGGACCUUCGGGGCCCUCUAACCACAGCGGACCUACGGGGCCGCAGACAAGCAAAACGGAAGACAGAGA
rnacentral:ncRNA from 1 species